CACGAUCCUAUCUGUGCCACCAGGAGAUGCAGCACUUUUGCAGACAGGAGGCAUGACUCCUGCCCACUCUGCACCCUUCACCUGUAGCGCACUGUCUCCUGGGACGUUCUGAAGGCAGGACCAGUUCAGCUUAUCAGCAGUGUCCUGCUAAGGAGGCACUCAGCAGCCAGCACUUGCUCUUCUUGAUGAGUGAAGCAGAAGGAAACGCCCACUCAGGGAAGUGUUUACCCUCAAGCCACAGCAUCUUGAAUAAUGACAGCAGGUCGGCCUGGUGCACAUCCCACAGCCUUGGGGCUGCAGAGCACGGGGUGCAGAGCUGAGACUGGAGCAGUCCUGCCCAUCUU